UUAUUCUUAUAAUUAAAUAUUUUUUUUAGUUACAUUAACCCCAUUCUAAAAAUACUUAAAUAGGGGCAAAAUUUUUUUUCAGAUUAACAUGGAGGUUAUGUAUGGGUAACUCGGGUAGAGAUUACCUUUGUUCCCACUAGAGGCGCAUGUUACAGCGCUCUUUAUAUUUCUAUUCCCUCCCAUAAUUAUAUUUUCCUUGAAUGCCAUAUUAAAGGCAGUGACGUUUGCUGGGCUAUUUGCUAUAGCUGUUUUGUUUUGGUUUUUUGAAUUUAAAACAGCUUGUUUUAUACAAACAACAGCCGUGUACCACAAAAACACUUCGUUUUAAAGUGACCCAUAAUUUUAUAAUUUGUUUUUCAGGAUUACGGAACCUUUUUUUUCCAACAAUACUACAAGUAUAUUGCCAUUUUCUGACAAACAGUAUUUGGUACGAUAAUGAACAAACAACAAAUAUCCUAGUACUUUAACAGUAUUUGUCUGAACACAUUCUAGUCUUCGUUGGAAAAUGUUUUAUCAGAACAACGUAAUUAUAGCCAUCUCCUUUUACUCACAAACAUUGUAUUUUCAGUGAAAAUUAAUACAACGGUUCAGUAUUGUUAAC
rnacentral:lncRNA from 1 species